rnacentral:rRNA from 1 species
AUUGAACGCUGGCGGAAUGCUUUACACAUGCAAGUCGAGCGGCAGCGCGGGGCAACCUGGCGGCGAGCGGCGAACGGGUGAGUAAUGCAUCGGAACAUGUCCAUGUCGUGGGGGAUAGCCCGGCGAAAGCCGGAUUAAUACCGCAUACGCCCGAGAGGGGAAAGUGGGGGACCGCAAGGCCUCACGCGAUUGGGUUGGCCGAUGUCCGAUUAGCUUGUUGGUGAGGUAAAGGCUUACCAAGGCGAUGAUCGGUAGCUGGUCUGAGAGGAUGAUCAGCCACACUGGGACUGAGACACGGCCCAGACUCCUACGGGAGGCAGCAGUGGGGAGUUUUGGACAAUGGGGGCAACCCUGAUCCAGCCAUUCCGCGUGAGUGAAGAAGGCCUUCGGGUUGUAAAGCUCUUUUGUCCGGAGCGAAACGGUGGCGGUGAAUAUCCGCCACUACUGACGGUACCGGAAGAAUAAGCACCGGCUAACUACGUGCCAGCCGCCGCCGUAACAC